AUUGAACGCUGGCGGCAUGCCUUACACAUGCAAGUCGAACGGCAGCACGGAGCUUGCUCUGGUGGCGAGUGGCGAACGGGUGAGUAAUAUAUCGGAACGUACCCUAGAGUGGGGGAUAACGUAGCGAAAGUUACGCUAAUACCGCAUACGAUCUAAGGAUGAAAGUGGGGGAUCGCAAGACCUCAUGCUCGUGGAGCGGCCGAUAUCUGAUUAGCUAGUUGGUAGGGUAAAAGCCUACCAAGGCAUCGAUCAGUAGCUGGUCUGAGAGGACGACCAGCCACACUGGAACUGAGACACGGUCCAGACUCCUACGGGAGGCAGCAGUGGGGAAUUUUGGACAAUGGGCGAAAGCCUGAUCCAGCAAUGCCGCGUGAGUGAAGAAGGCCUUCGGGUUGUAAAGCUCUUUUGUCAGGGAAGAAACGGUGAGAGCUAAUAUCUCUUGCUAAUGACGGUACCUGAAGAAUAAGCACCGGCUAACUACGUGCCAGCAGCCGCGGUAAUACGUAGGGUGCAAGCGUUAAUCGGAAUUACUGGGCGUAAAGCGUGCGCAGGCGGUUUUGUAAGUCUGAUGUGAAAUCCCCGGGCUCAACCUGGGAAUUGCAUUGGAGACUGUCAGGCUAGAAUCUGGCAGAGGGGGGUAGAAUUCCACGUGUAGCAGUGAAAUGCGUAGAUAUGUGGAGGAACACCGAUGGCGAAGGCAGCCCCCUGGGUCAAGAUUGACGCUCAUGCACGAAAGCGUGGGGAGCAAACAGGAUUAGAUACCCUGGUAGUCCACGCCCUAAACGAUGUCUACUAGUUGUCGGGUCUUAAUUGACUUGGUAACGCAGCUAACGCGUGAAGUAGACCGCCUGGGGAGUACGGUCGCAAGAUUAAAACUCAAAGGAAUUGACGGGGACCCGCACAAGCGGUGGAUGAUGUGGAUUAAUUCGAUGCAACGCGAAAAACCUUACCUACCCUUGACAUGGCUGGAAUCCUUGAGAGAUCAGGGAGUGCUCGAAAGAGAACCAGUACACAGGUGCUGCAUGGCUGUCGUCAGCUCGUGUCGUGAGAUGUUGGGUUAAGUCCCGCAACGAGCGCAACCCUUGUCAUUAGUUGCUACGAAAGGGCACUCUAAUGAGACUGCCGGUGACAAACCGGAGGAAGGUGGGGAUGACGUCAAGUCCUCAUGGCCCUUAUGGGUAGGGCUUCACACGUCAUACAAUGGUACAUACAGAGCGCCGCCAACCCGCGAGGGGGAGCUAAUCGCAGAAAGUGUAUCGUAGUCCGGAUUGUAGUCUGCAACUCGACUGCAUGAAGUUGGAAUCGCUAGUAAUCGCGGAUCAGCAUGUCGCGGUGAAUACGUUCCCGGGUCU
rnacentral:rRNA from 1 species